AUUUGUUGCCAUUUAUUCUGGAUUUGGGGCCAUUUUUUCUGGAUUUGCGGCUACUUGUUGUAGAUUUGGGGCCAUUUGCAGUGGAUUUGGGGCCAUUUGUUGCAGAUUUGGGGCCAUUUGCAGUGGAUUUGGGGCCAUUUGGAGCAGAUUUGGGGCCAUUUGUUACAGAUUUGGUGCCAUUUGCAGUGGAUUUGGGGCCAUUUAUUCUGGAUUUGGGGCCAUUUAUUGGGGUUUGGGGCCAUUUAUUGUGGGUUUCGGGCCAUUUAUUCUGGAUUUGGGGCCACUUGCUGUAGAUUUGGGGCCAUUUGUUGCAGAUUUGGGGCCAUUUGUUACAGAUUUGGGGCCAUUUGCAGUGGAUUUGGGGCCAUUUGGAGCAAAUUUGGGGCCAUUUGUUACAGAUUUGGUGCCAUUUGCAGUGGAUUUGGGGCCAUUUAUUGGGGUUUUGGGCCAUUUGUUGUGGGUUUGGGGCCAUUUUUUCUGGAUUUGGGGCCAUUUUUUCUGGAUUUGCGGCUACUUGUUGUAGAUUUGGGGCCAUUUGUUGCAGAUUUGGGGCCAUUUGCUGUAGAUUUGGGGCCAUUUGCUGUAGAUUUGGGGCCAUUUGCAGUGGAUUUGGGGCCAUUUAUUGCGGUUUUGUGGCCAUUUGCAGUGGAUUUGGGGCCAUUUGGAGCAGAUUUGGGGCCAUUUGCAGUGGAUUUGGGGCCAUUUAUUUUGUGUUUGGGGCCAUUUGUUGCAGAUUUGGGGCCAUUCGCAGUGGAUUUGGGGCCAUUUAUUGUGGGUUUGUGGCCCUUUGCUGUAGAUUUGGGGCCAUUUGCUGUGGAUUUGGGGCCAUUUGCUCUAGAUCUGGGACCAUUUAUUGUGGAUUUGAGGCCAUUUAUUGUGGAUUUGGGGCCAUUUAUACUGAGUUUGUGGCCAUUUGCAGUGGAUUUGGGGCCAUUUGCAGUGGAUUUGGGGCCAUUUGUUGCACAUUUGUGGCCAUUCGCAGUGAAUUUGGGGCCAUUUGAAGCAGAUUUGGGACCACUUGCAGUGGAAUGGGGAGCAGCGGCGGUGGAUGUGGGGCAGCAGCAGCAACCUGGAGGCUGUUUGCUGUGCACCUGGGACACGUUGCACACACAUCAUUUGGUUCCCCCCCCCAAACACCCCCAAUAAAACCUCCCCCCACCCCCUCCCCUCUCAUUCCCCACUCCCCCCGUUCUCUCCAUCCCCCCCACACCUCAUUAACCCCCUCCGUAACCCGUUGCCUUCUCCCUGCAGCCGGCACCACCUACAUUUUUGGCAAGGGGGGGGCUCUGAUCACCUACACGUGGCCCCCCAAUGACCGACCCAGCACCCGCGCCGACCGCCUGGCGUUGGGCUUCAGCACCCAACAGCGCGACGCCGUCCUGGUGCGCGUGGAGAGCGCCUCGGGGCUGGGGGAUUUCCUGCAGCUGCACAUCGUAAGGGGCAGAGG
rnacentral:lncRNA from 1 species